rnacentral:rRNA from 1 species
GGGCUCACACAAGCGGAGGAGGAUGUGGCUUAAUUCGAGGCUACGCGAAGAACCUUAUCCUAGGCUUGACAUGCGGGAUGUCCGCCCUGAAAGGGGGUCGGACUGCCUCUGGUGAAACCAGCACAGGUGCUGCAUGGCUGUCGUCAGCUCGUGUCGUGAGAUGUCGAGUUAAGUCUCUUAACGAGCGAAACCCCUACCACUAGUUGCCAGCGUGUAAUGACGGGGACUCUAGUGGGACUGCCGAAGUUAAUGAGGAGGAAGGUGGGGAUGACGUCAAGUCCUCAUGGCCCUUAUGCCUAGGGCUGCACACGUCCUACAAUGCAACACACAAAGGGAAGCGACCUCGUAAGAGUGAGCAAAACCCAAAAAUGUUGCCCAGUCCGGAUUGCGGUCUGAAUUCGACCGCAUGAAGUCGGAUUCGCUAGUAAUCGCGGGUCAGAAUACCG